UACAGAGGUCUCAAGCGUUGUUCGGAUUCAUUGGGCGUAAAGGGUGCGUAGGCGGCGCGGUAAGUCGGGUGUGAAAUCUCGGAGCUUAACUCCGAAACUGCAUUUGAUACUGCCGUGCUUGAGGACUGGAGAGGAGACUGGAAUUUACGGUGUAGCGGUGAAAUGCGUAGAUAUCGUAAGGAAGACCAGUGGCGAAGGCGGGUCUCUGGACAGUUCCUGACGCUGAGGCACGAAGGCCAGGGGAGCAAACAGG
rnacentral:rRNA from 1 species